GUUUGAUCCUGGCUCAGAUUGAACGCUGGCGGCAGGCUUAACACAUGCAAGUCGAGCGGAGUGAUGGUGCUUGCACUAUCACUUAGCGGCGGACGGGUGAGUAAUGCUUAGGAAUCUGCCUAUUAGUGGGGGACAACAUUUCGAAAGGAAUGCUAAUACCGCAUACGUCCUACGGGAGAAAGCAGGGGAUCUUCGGACCUUGCGCUAAUAGAUGAGCCUAAGUCGGAUUAGCUAGUUGGUGGGGUAAAGGCCUACCAAGGCGACGAUCUGUAGCGGGUCUGAGAGGAUGAUCCGCCACACUGGGACUGAGACACGGCCCAGACUCCUACGGGAGGCAGCAGUGGGGAAUAUUGGACAAUGGGCGCAAGCCUGAUCCAGCCAUGCCGCGUGUGUGAAGAAGGCCUUAUGGUUGUAAAGCACUUUAAGCGAGGAGGAGGCUACUGAAGUUAAUACCUUCAGAUAGUGGACGUUACUCGCAGAAUAAGCACCGGCUAACUCUGUGCCAGCAGCCGCGGUAAUACAGAGGGUGCAAGCGUUAAUCGGAUUUACUGGGCGUAAAGCGCGCGUAGGCGGCUAAUUAAGUCAAAUGUGAAAUCCCCGAGCUUAACUUGGGAAUUGCAUUCGAUACUGGUUAGCUAGAGUGUGGGAGAGGAUGGUAGAAUUCCAGGUGUAGCGGUGAAAUGCGUAGAGAUCUGGAGGAAUACCGAUGGCGAAGGCAGCCAUCUGGCCUAACACUGACGCUGAGGUGCGAAAGCAUGGGGAGCAAAACAGGAUUAGAUACCCUGGUAGUCCAUG
rnacentral:rRNA from 1 species